UACGGAGGGUGCGAGCGUUGUCCGGAAUCAUUGGGCGUAAAGGGCGCGUAGGUGGCUUCUUAAGCGUGCGGUGAAAGCCUGGGGCUCAACCCCGGGUCGGCCGUGCGAACUGGGGGGCUGGAGCACUGUAGAGGCAGGCGGAAUUCCGGGUGUAGCGGUGGAAUGACGUAGAGAUCCGGAAGAACACCGAUGGCGAAGGCAGGUCUCUGGGCCACUACUGAACGCUGAGAAGGCGAAAGCAU
rnacentral:rRNA from 1 species